rnacentral:rRNA from 1 species
UACGAAGGGGGCUAGCGUUGCUCGGAAUCACUGGGCGUAAAGGGUGCGUAGGCGGGUCUUUAAGUCCGGGGUGAAAUCCUGGAGCUCAACUCCAGAACUGCCUUUGAUACUGAGGAUCUUGAGUUCGGGAGAGGUGAGUGGAACUGCGAGUGUAGAGGUGAAAUUCGUAGAUAUUCGCAAGAACACCAGUGGCGAAGGCGGCUCACUGGCCCGAUACUAACGCUGAGGCACGAAAGCGUGGGGAGCAAACAGG